rnacentral:lncRNA from 1 species
CUCAGAAAACCUUAAUAGCGUAGAAUUUCCAAUACAGAUCGUCCAUGAACAUUUUCCCAAUGAAGGGUGGGUUACUUGAUUAGCCAUUUGUGAUUGGUUAACCUGUUCGUUUCACCUUUGAUGUAACAUUGCUAAAUAAACACCGUUGAAUCUUUACAGGAAUGGCGAAACGAGCUGCUUUAAGCAUUUGCUUUUAUUCAGAGUUUGACCAAUUAGCUAUCAACUGCAGACUUUUUGCUCAUUAUAUCCUCAUUGUCUGUUACGCUUAUUGAACAAACUUAAAAGCACGUUUCUGUGCAACCAAUGAUUGUUAAGACUUUUAAGAGGAUUGCUACCCUGAAAUCAACAUGAUAAAAAAACGAUAUCUCAAUUCGGAUGGAAAUUAGACUACCCUGCUUACACGUCAAUUAAUACGCCCCAUCAAUUAAUACGCCGGUUGUUCGAGAGCCAGUACGUUUAACCCCACAACAGGUUAACCCAAAAUUCAAAGCAAACUUCCCAACAGCUCGCUUACAAACUUGGAAAUAUUUCUUCAGUAAUCUUGCGUGGAUCAACAGUUUUCUUCUCUGAUGUUUUGUAAUAAACAAACACGUAGAGAAACACGAACAAAACGGCGAGUUAAAGUUUAAUCUAUAGGGUUAGUUCUAAUCCAGCUUUGAACAACAGGCCCAAAUAUUAAAUAUCAAUACAGUAUAUACUCACUGGCAAAAAAAACUAGAGAUCCAAGGAUAGUGUAAAGUUUCAAAUUGAAUACGAUCGGGAAGAACUGCCAGGCCUUAAAAUAUCGGUCGGUCACGGACAUUGUCCGACCCAUUCGUGAAAUUGUCCGACGUAUAGAGGAAACCACCGGACAUUCUGUCCGAUCAAAGUGAAACUGAGGUUUAUUGUUUGUCCGACCUGAGUGUAUUGGUGUCAGACCGAACUGUAGCUUUGUCCGACGUAAAUCAAAAUGUACCCUAGCCCAGGGCUAGAAGCUUGUAUGUUAAAUGGAAAAUCAGAGUUCUGUUGUAUAAAAGGUGAACUGGAAAUGUUGUUUUAACGUAGUCGAGCGCGGGGCGGCGAGCGAAAUGGUGAAGUGGAAAAUUAACGCGCUUAAGUUGUCGAAGUCUUUUUAAUACUGCUUUUCUGGAAAGCACUUUAAUUUUGGCUUGGAAAUAUAAGAAUGAAAGAAACAAAUUAUUUAAUAUUUUGACAAUAUUUACCGUUUAGAAUUAAUACAUUGUGCUGAUAUUCAUUUGUGUCAUUCAGACUUAUUUACGAGUCAAAACUGAACUGAAGGUCAUCGGACAUAUGUCCGACCCAAACUCAACGUCAUCGGACAUUUUGUCAGACGGCCCUGUAAAAGAUAUUUUAAGGCCUGACUGCGUAGGGUCUAGCGGGUUAAUAGGUUUGCUCAACAAUUAGGCCAAACAACGUUACAUUAGGCCUUUGUUUUUUUUUGUCUUAGCGUGUUUUGUUUUUUUUUGUUUUAUUUGUUUUCAAUAACGGCACUAAUACGAUUUGGCCUAAUUCUUCAUCUAACAUACCAACACUGCACGUUACUCAAAAAUGUGGAUUAGAACAAGGUUUUUACGAGAGAAACAAUUCAUUGUCACUUCCUUCGCCGUGCCUCGUGGAACUGGUACAAUUUAUUUAUUUAUUGUGAUGCUACACGAAACAACUCGAAAUUUAAAUUCUUUCACCAGCAACCACAUUUUGUAUAUUCUAAAACUACAAUUGCAUUGGGAGCUGUCGCUGAAAGUAUCCCCAUGAGGCUACUGAUAUACUAAACUUAUUUAAAACUAUCAGCGCCCAUAUUGCACAUUUAACUAUUGUCUCAGUGACACAAUUGAAAUAGCUGUAUAACUACAGUGUGUCCCAAAAAAGUACCCUCUAUAGAAAGUAUCUAUCCUAUUGUUAUAAGGGUACUUUUUUGGGGACACACUGUAGUUAAUAUGACGUUGCAUCCCAUUACAAAAAACAUAAAUCCAAAACACAGACACAUAAAAAUGAGGCGAAAAAAUUCAUUUAAAUGACGCAUUUUAUCCCCAUAUCCGUUCCGCAACCGCUCCAUGGAUCCGCUAGGUUCCGCAUCCGCUUCCGCAUUUUAACUUAAUUGUGACAUGUUUCUCAAUAACAAGUCUCAAUGACCUUUGACUUUAUAUUCCCAAGGCCAAGAUCAGGUUGUUUUUUUUUUAUAUGAGUCAUUUUCAGCUUUUCGCAAGUAUUCAAUAAUGUCUCUUUAGAUGUCAAUAAUUUCACAGUUACAGCAGAGUUUAUAGCAGUUUUGAUAAAGCUUUGAUACAGAUAGAUUCUCGUAAGAUCUGGUGAUGUUCUCGUUGCAUUUGAAUAUUGCAUCGUGCCAUUGAACACCAGUUUGCACCGUUGUGCCAGACAUGUGAACAAGGCCCGUGACUGUACACGUUGGAUAGCAAACGCCAUACAAUGAUAUACAAACACUAGUACACUACUUCUGUUUGAUAGUUAUUUAUGCUCUACUGAUCUGAUGCAAUGUUUUGCUCUUCGUACUGAGUGACCUAUUCUGUGGUGUAGCAGUGUUACACCUUUACUUCGAUGUAUAAUGAAUAUACGACUAAAUAAUAUCGGCACUUAAUUGAAUGCCGGCCGGUAUAAAUGCACAACAUCAAUUUAUAUAUUACGUAGCAUCUCAAAGAUUUUAUCAAUAUUCAUCGGUCUGAAAUGUUUAUGUACUUGAAAACAACGCUGUCUCGCUCCUUCCUAGCUCUGUAUAAUGAAUAUACCGUCAAAAUAAUAUCGGCACUUCGAAGAUUUUCUCAAUAUUUAUAAUUAGGUCUGAAAUGUUUUAUAUACAUUUGGAAAAAAGCACUAUCUAGCUCCUUAGUUCUUAGCUCUGUAUAAUGAAUAUACCGUCUAAGUAAUAUCGGUACUUGACUGAAUGCCCGUAAUGAAUAACAUCAAUUUAUAUAUUGCGUAGACUCUCAAAGAUUUACUCAAUAUUCACAUCUGAAAUGUGUAUACAUUUGAAAACAACACUGUGUCGCUCCUUCCUAGCAUCGUCACGUCAUCGUAGGUCAUCUACGGUUUGAUAGCGCAUGCGCAUUUGCGCUGCUAAAGAAAAAAUCGAGUGUUCCGG